UACGUAGGGUGCAAGCGUUGUCCGGAAUUAUUGGGCGUAAAGAGCUCGUAGGCGGUUCGUCGCGUCGGCUGUGAAAACCCGGAGCUCAACUCCGGGCCUGCAGUCGAUACGGGCGGACUUGAGUGUUGCAGGGGAGACUGGAAUUCCUGGUGUAGCGGUGAAAUUCGUAGAUAUUGGGAAGAGCACCGGUGGCGAAGGCGGCUCACUGGCUCGUUACUGACGCUCAGGCACGACAGCGUGGGGAUCAAACAGG
rnacentral:rRNA from 1 species